AUGGCGGAUGCACCUCUAUACAAGCAGCAUCGCAGGUACACUAGGGAGCUCCACGACGUCGACCUCCACGGCAACCACAAGCUCCACGUCGUUUGCACAAGCAAGGGUCAAGACGUGGACAAGAUGCCGUCCACGCUCAGGAGGAAGCUCAGCGGAAUGCCCGUCAAACUAGUCGGUGUUGAUGUCGAGUACACGCACUAUGUGAAGCCACAGCGGGUAGGAGUGCUCCAGCUAUGCGUAGAAAAAGAAUGCCUUGUCUACCACAUCUCUGCAGCUAAAGACAGGCCAAUGGAACUAGAGAAAUUCCUCAUGAAUGGUGAGUACACCUUGGUAGGAUUCGCCAUUGAAGGAGACAAAAGCAAGCUGAAGCUAUCUGGCUUGGAGAUCAACUCCGACAACUACAUUGAUAUUCAGGUGGAAUGGAGAGACCCAUACAAAAAAAGGAGUUUGACUCUUUGGCUGAUGUUGCCGAUAGGAUGA
rnacentral:rRNA from 1 species